rnacentral:rRNA from 1 species
GACGAACGCUGGCGGCGUGCUUAACACAUGCAAGUCGAACGGAAAGGCCCUGCUUUUGUGGGGUGCUCGAGUGGCGAACGGGUGAGUAACACGUGAGUAACCUGCCCUUGACUUUGGGAUAACUUCAGGAAACUGGGGCUAAUACCGGAUAGGAGCUCCUGCUGCAUGGUGGGGGUUGGAAAGUUUCGGCGGUUGGGGAUGGACUCGCGGCUUAUCAGCUUGUUGGUGGGGUAGUUGCUUACCAAGGCUUUGACGGGUAGCCGGCCUGAGAGGGUGAACGGCGACAUUGGGACUGAGAGACGGCGCAGAGUGCUACGGGAGGCAGCAGUGGGGAAUAUUGUACAAUGGGGGGAAGCCUGAUGCAGAAACGCCGGGUGCGGGAUGACGGCCUUCGGGUUGUAAACCGCUUUAGCCUGUGACGAAGCGGGAGUGACGGUAAUGGGUAAAGAAGCACCGGCUAACUACGUG